CGACGAUGUAAGUCGUUAAACCUAACCACAAAAUUCAAUUUCCGCCGAGUAGCAUUGGAAAAGGACAAUACUGCAUUGAGUUCUCAUGGUGAGGAGGAGUCUGGUGAGACAGUGUGCGGUGACCGCAACGGAGUGGCGGUGUGGUUGUGCCCCCUGUGUCAACAAGGGUUACCAGACAGGGGCUCCCUUGCUCUGCACCUGAAUGAUGGGCAUAGUGUGCUUCCUAACUGUGUAGACAAGUUGCUGGACAUUGUAAGUAGUGCAAUGCAAGUUCAUUCUGGACUAGUAAUUCUUUUUUUUUUCUCCCAUCGCACGAGUCAACAGAACUUGACUUUUGUAUCUAUGUGUUUAAUUAAUGAUUCUUGGUUGACAUCAAAUAUAAUACAUGAUCAAUUAUUGUACAUGCAUUAUUUGUAUAUGUUAUUGUAGGAUUUUAGAACGUUUCCCAAAAGCCUCUUAAGAAUAAGUUUAACUAACUUAGAAUCUUUGAAAGAACAUGGUUAAAUCUCCGAGCUGUUUCCAAAAACCAUUGUUACUAAAGCUGCAUUUGAAAACGCUUGUUAGUUACGGACUGCCUUAGACCACUCAUAGAACAGCUAAUUGCGUCGUAAGCGGUUUUUUUUUGUGUGUGUACCGCGCCACUUUAUAGACAGAUCUCCACUAAACAUCAUCAAAUGGUACUGUCUGACUGUUAACUUCACAACGAAGUUGACAACAACUACAAAUUUGCAAGUCUUUAACUGUUACAAACAAGCAAAUAAAAAUAUGCUUCAGGAAACCAAGAUGACUGCUUUAAAAGAUAAAUGGCCUACAGUAUAAACUACGUAGGCCUAUAUAAUUCAAGAAUAUUUAAAAACAUUUAAUGUUCAUUCAAUUGAGUUCUAUUUUACUACUGUCUAUAAUUUUGCCUCAAUAUACAGUACUAGUCAAAAGUUUGGACACACUUACUCAUUAGAGUUUUUCUUUAAUUUGACUAUUUUCUACACUGUAGAAUAAUAGUGAAGACAUCAAAACUAUGAUGUAACAGCAUAUGGAAUUAUGUAGUAACUAAGUGUUAAACAAAUCAAAAUAUAUUUGAGUUUUUCAAAGUAGCCAUCCUUUGCCUAGAUGACAGCUUUGCACACUCCUGGCGUUCUCUCAACCAGCUUCACCUGGAAUGCUUUUCCAUCAGUCUUUAAGGAGUUCCCACAUAUGCUGAGCACUUGUUGGAUGAGUUUCCUUCACUCUGCGGUCCAACUCAUCUCAAACCAUCUCAAUUGGGUUGAGGUUUGGUGAUUGUGGAGGCUAGGUCAUCGGAUGCAGAACUCCAUCACUCACCUUCUUGAUAAAAUAGUCCUUACACAGCCUGGAGGUAUGUUGGGUCAUUGUCCUGUUGAAAAACAAAUUAUAGUCCCACUAAGUGCAAACCAGAUGGGAUGGCUUAUCACUGCAGAAUGUUGUGGUGGCCAUGCUGGUUAAGUGUGCCUUGAAUUCUAAAUAAAUCACUGACCGUGUCACCAACAAAGCACCAUCACACCACCACCUCCAUGCUUCACAGUGGGAACUACACGUGCGGAGAUCAUCCGCUCACAAAGACAUUUUGGACUUAUCAGACCGAAGGACAGAUUUCCACUGGUCUAAUGCUUGAGUUUCUUGGCCCAAGCAAGUCUCUUCUUCUUAUUGGUGUCCUUUAGUAGUGGUUUCUUUGCAACAAUUUGACCAAGGUCUGGCUCAAGCAGUCUCCUCUGAACAGUUGAUGUUGUCUGUUGAACUCUGUGAAGCAUUUAUUUGGGCUUCUAUUUCUGAGGCUGGUAACUCCAAUGAACUUAUCCUCUGCAGCAGAGGUAACUCUGGGUCCUCCUUUCCUCAUGAGAGCCAGUUUCAUCAAAGCGCUUGAUGGUUUUUGCGACUGCACUUGAAGAAACUUCAAAUGUUUUGACAUUUUCCGGUUUGACUGACCAUGCCUUAAAGUAAUGAUGGACUGUUGUUUCUCUUUGCUUAUUUGAGCUGUUCUUGACAUAAUAUGAACUUGGUCUUUUACCAAAUAGGGGUGGUAUACAGAAGAGAGCCCUAACUUGUCACAAUACAAAUGACUGGCUCAAACGCAUUAAGAAGGAAAGAAAUUCCACAAAUGAAAUUUUAACAAGGCACACCUGUUAAUUGAAAUACAUUCCAGGUGACUACCUCAUGAAGCUGGUUGAGAGAAUGCCAAGAGUGUGCAAAGCUGUCAAGGCACAAGGUGGCUACUUUGAAGAAUCUCAAAUAUAAAAUAUAACUUUUUGGGGGUUACUACAUGAUUCCAUAUGUGUUAUUUCAUAGUUUUGAUGUCUUCAUUAUUAUUCUACAAUGUCAAAAGUAGUGAAAAGAAAGAAAAACCCUUGAAUGAGUAGGUGUUGCCAAACUUUUGACUGGUACUGUAUUUCAUGAUACGUAACAACUUGUGCAAUGUGCCAAAUCUUUAUUUAGUGCAUUAUUAUACAGACCUUCUAACAUGCACGCAUUUUGCGUACCUACUACGUAAUUCUCUGUCCAUGUACGAGAUCUGAGUUAAAAGUACGCAGAAAUGAAUAGGGCCUGUUUUUUUGGGGGGGGGGUUCUCUCCAUUUGAACAAAAAAUGUAUCACUGAGUAAAUUUAACAUCCCGUUUCUCGAGUGGCAACACACAGACAUGUACAGAGUUUGAGUCAAUGGAGAUUAAUACCUAAUUUUUCGACGUAGCUACCCCGUGUCUGCCCCUCUUGUUUGUUGUGAUGCUGAGUUUGCCGACUGUCAGCUGUAUGUAAACACAUGGACAAAUCUCUUUUCGACUCCAUGUGUUGUGGAAAGGUAAACACUAAUUGUUUCAAGCAAACAAAAGAUGGACAUUCAGUGGGCUCGAAAGUGCCAGCACUUCACUCGCAUUUGCUAGUGAAAGAAAUUACAUUAAAAUACGAGUAACUUGUUGCAUUUGUGCGAGUGUGAUAUACAUUUUAAUUCUGUGUCCCAUUAGUUGUAUUUUCCACAACAUUACGAGGAUCACGCAACCUGAGACAAACUGAUUUGUUUAAUAAAAAUGUUAAAACUCCAAGAAUAAAGGCCCUUUGUGUUCUUUCUAAUUAGAUAUUGUUCGUGAUUUUUACCAUCUGUGUAAAUGGAAUGCUGUCAAGCAAGUAUUCCAACCUUUUGUAGAAUUGAUUUGGUAUAGUUCUAUAAUUGCGAUCAAACUCACAGACAGUGCGCGCACAAGCGUGCUGGGGGAAAGCGCACCCCAAUUCGGCGUUUUCUGCGCGCGAGUUGACUCUCCAAUUUGCCGCGUGCGUCUGGUACUCUAAAGGGUUGGCAGGUCAUAGAAUCAUAGAUCGAGUCACCAAUUUAUACCAAGAUGCUCUCUUGUUGGACUGCAGCACUAAGCAGUGGGUUCCUGUGUCAGCAAAAUUGAGUCUUAAGGUAAAAUGUUAGUUUUCUCUCUUUACCAGGCUGCUCCCAAACAGGGGGCGAGUGGAGUGGACACCGAUGUUAAGCAUGAUACAGGUGAGUUUGUCCUCUGAUUAACAGCAGUACCUACAGUUUUGCACUGUCUUUAUGAAUUUGAGUUAUGCAUUAUUUGAAUGGAUACAAGCACAUUGACAUAGAGUAGCCUAAACAAUUAGCUUGUGUUAAUUUUAAAUGCCUGUUCCUUGAAGGUUUAGACCUAAAAGUAUCGAUAUGCUAUGACUGUAUUUGUGUUGUCAGUUAAUCAGGAUCUGUCAAGGUUCCAUGGACCCAAAACACCUGCUGAAAUAUCUUGUCUUUCUGCUUCACAUCAGAUGCUGCAUCAUUACAACUGAAGCUUUUAGAAGCUUCAGACUCCCUCUCAGACCCAUGUCAAAAUAAUGAGAACUCUGAAGGACCCCAGCAGAAUUACAACAGUAGGCACACUCUCAUUGGGC
ensembl:lncRNA